GGACGUGUAGCCUAAUGGUAAGGCACUCGCACCCAAUAACCACCAAUCGGACAUGCUGUGUGAACUUGCCACCAGCACCGGUUCUGCGAUCUACCGAGGUCGACGUGUGAGCACAGGAGUAACGAACUACAAACACCUGUGUGGGUCAUGUGAGGGAUCCAUGUUCAAAUCAUGGCAUGUCCA